UGAGGAAUAUUGGUCAAUGGGCGGAAGCCUGAACCAGCCAUGCCGCGUGAAGGACUAAGGCCCUAUGGGUCGUAAACUUCUUUAGACGCAGAGCAAUAAGGGUCUCGAGAGAUCCGAUGAGAGUAUGCGUAGAAUAAGCAUCGGCUAACUCCGUGCCAGCAGCCGCGGUAAUACGGGGGAUGCGAGCGUUAUCCGGAUUUAUUGGGUUUAAAGGGUGCGUAGGCGGAAGUGCAAGUCAGCGGUGAAAUCCCCGCGCUCAACGCGGGAGUUGCCGUUGAUACUGUACAUCUGGAAUGCUCUUGCCGUGGGAGGAAUGAGUAGUGUAGCGGUGAAAUGCAUAGAUAUUACUCAGAACACCGAUUGCGAAGGCAUCUCACGAAGGGGCGAUUGACGCUGAGGC
rnacentral:rRNA from 1 species